CCCCCGUCAGGACGAACGCUGGCGGCGUGCUAAUACAUGCAAGUCGAGCGGACAGAAGGGAGCUUGCUCCCGGAUGUNAGCGGCGGACGGGUGAGUAACACGUGGGUAACCUGCCUGUAAGACUGGGAUAACUCCGGGAAACCGGAGCUAAUACCGGAUAGUUCCUUGAACCGCAUGGUUCAAGGAUGAAAGACGGUUUCGGCUGUCACUUACAGAUGGACCCGCGGCGCCAUUAAGCUAGUUGGUGAGGUAACGGCUCACCAAGGCGGACGAUGCGUNAGCCGACCUGAGAGGGUGAUCGGCCNCACUGGGACUGAGACACGGCCCAGACUCCCUACGGGAGGCAGCAGUAGGGAAUCUUCCGCAAUGGACGAAAGUCUGACGGAGCAACGCCGCGUGAGUGAUGAAGGUUUUCGGAUCGUAAAGCUCUGUUGUUAGGGAAGAACAAGUGCAAGAGUAACUGCUUGCAC
rnacentral:rRNA from 2 species